UACAACUGAAGGAGGCAGGCUUAG
rnacentral:piRNA from 1 species